AUGGGGAGAAAUGUGGGAGUUGCAUUCUGGAUUCUGUGCCUGCAGAUUUGCUGGGUGAGAGGAGCUCAGGUGGAGCAGAGUCCUUCAGCCCUGAGUCUCCACGAGGGAAGCAGUUGUGCUCUGAGAUGCAAUUUUUCUACCACCAUGGCGAGUGUGCAGUGGUUCCAGCAGAAUCCCAGGGGCAGCCUCAUCAGUCUGUUCUACCUGGCUUCAGGAACAAAAGAGAGUGGAAGGUUAAAGUCAACGUUCAAUUCUAAGGAGCGCUACAGCACCCUGCACAUCGCAGCCGCCCAGCUGGGGGACUCAGGCACCUACCUCUGUGCUGCCGAGGCACAGUGCUUCAAGCAAGCCUGUGGCCUGGCCACAAACUGCAGCUGGUGUUCAGCCCCAGCCGCUGACACAGGCAGACUCUGCAGAAGCCUUCCCACAGCUGUGCAUUUACCAGAUCUCCACCAGUUACACAGAAUACAUGAAAAAAACGUAAAAAUACUACUGCGAAAGUCCACACUUAAAUUAAAACUGACAUGA